rnacentral:rRNA from 1 species
UACGUAGGGUGCAAGCGUUUAAUCGGAAUACUGGGCGUAAAGCGUGCGCAGGCGGUUGUGCAAGACAGAUGUGAAAUCCCCGGGCUUAACCUGGGAAUUGCAUUUGUGACUGCACGGCUAGAGUGUGUCAGAGGGGGGUAGAAUUCCACGUGUAGCAGUGAAAUGCGUAGAUAUGUGGAGGAAUACCGAUGGCGAAGGCAGCCCCCCUGGGAUAACACUGACGCUCAUGCACGGAAAGCGUGGGGAG